UAACCUGGUUGAUCCUGCCAGUAGUCAUAUGCUUGUCUCAAAGAUUAAGCCAUGCAUGUCUAAGUAUAAGCGAGUAUACUGUGAAACUGCGAAUGGCUCAUUAAAUCAGUUAUGGUUUAUUUGAUGGUACCUUACUACUUGGAUACCCGUAGUAAUUCUAGAGCUAAUACAUGCAGGAGUUCGUGCGCGGCUCGUCCGCGCGCGAUGUAUUUAUUAGAUAAGAGACCAACCCGCCUCGUGCGGUUGCGUGCCGAGUCAUAAUAACUGUUCGAAUCGCAUGGCUCUGACGCCGGCGAUGGUUCAUUCAAAUUUCUGCCCUAUCAGCUUUCGAUGGUAGGAUAGAGGCCUACCAUGGCGUUAACGGGUAACGGGGAAUUAGGGUUCGAUUCCGGAGAGGGAGCCUGAGAGAUGGCUACCACAUCCAAGGAAGGCAGCAGGCGCGUAAAUUGCCCGAAUCCUGACACAGGGAGGUAGUGACAAGAAAUAACAAUACAGGGCCAUCUUGGUCUUGUAAUUGGAAUGAGUACAAUUUACAUCUCUUCACGAGGAUCAAUUGGAGGGCAAGUCUGGUGCCAGCAGCCGCGGUAAUUCCAGCUCCAAUAGCGUAUAUUAAAGUUGUUGCAGUUAAAACGCUCGUAGUCGGAUUUCGGGUCGGUUGCGCCGGUCUGCCGAUGGGUAUGCACUGGCGGAGUCGGCCUUUCUUCCGGAGACCGCGCCUCCUCUUAGCUGAGCGGGUGCGGGAGACGGAUCGUUUACUUUGAAAAAAUCAGAGUGUUUCAAGCAGGCAGCUCGCUCUUGCAUGGAUUAGCAUGGGAUAAUGAAAUAGGACUCUGGUGCUAUUUUGUUGGUUUCGAACACCGGAGUAAUG
rnacentral:rRNA from 1 species